ACCUUAUAAAGAGUGAUUGAGAGACUGGCUCUAUGAAAUCACACCAACCUAUAUAAGAUAGGUGGUAAGCCCAGAUGGAUGAGGA
rnacentral:ncRNA from 2 species